rnacentral:lncRNA from 1 species
CUGUGGCCAUUGAAAUGUCCUUUACAAGGCUCCUUAGUGAGGGUCUCUGGCAGGUGCUUGGCUUGCCCCAUUGCCUGGGCCUGACGGCCACGAAUGCACUCUAGCAGGCCAGGGGGUCCCGGGGGUCCCCACAAUCCUGAGCAAAUGCCUCUGGUUGCAGUUUCUCUUGUCCCAUUCUUACUGGAGGAAAAGAAAAUUCUAUCUCUUGGAAGUAGCUGGGGUAACCUUUUAGCUCCCUGCACCCAGAGGGGCCUUCUCACCUCUUCUCAGGAAGCAGCUAAGACCCAUUGUCCUCCUACUCGCUUCGCUACUGGUCCAUGGUGCAGACUGUCCCAAAUCACCAAGAAAGGUACUUUCAGGAUCCCAGCACCUAGCACUGUGUAAGCCAUCCCAGACAACUACCCUUCCUGAUACCCCAAAAUGUGUGCGGAGAUAGAAAAGUCGCCCUGCCCCCAAAACUCCUUUCUCAUCCCUGAUUAACAGUGAAGGCCGAGUCUGUCGUGGAUCCUACAGUAGGCUCAGGCAGCCUAGAGGGGUUUAAAAACCGGUGGUUCCUAUUUGCAAGGCUACUUUAAAGUGCUACUUGAAAAGCACUGGCUACAAAGAAAGAAAGCACAAGAACCUGAAAGGCUGAUACGAUGUUGCUCUAAGUGUGUGGGUGGGUACCGAUCCUUAAGGUAUCCUGCCUGCUGUGGGCAGGUCUUCCUGAAGUGGUCUCCAAACUGAGGGACAGGGGAGGGCCUGCUUUGCACUAUAGGCUGCUUGUGUGUUUGUUUGUUUGUUGUUUUUAGCACAACGUGCUUGUACAGACCAACUGCCCGUCUUGGGUACUAUUUAACUGUAAGAGAAAAGCUGUAUUUGUUACAAUAAUAUAACAGAUCUGUGGAGGACCGA